AGCGGCGCACGGGUGAGUAACGCGUGGGAACCUGCCCUUUGGUUCGGAACAACCCUGGGAAACUAGGGCUAAUACCGGAUAAUCCCCGCAAGGGGGAAAGAUUUAUCGCCGAAGGAGGGGCCCGCGUCCGAUUAGCUAGUUGGUGGGGUAAUGGCCUACCAAGGCUGCGAUCGGUAGCCGGUCUGAGAGGACGAUCGGCCACACUGGGACUGAGACACGGCCCAGACUCCUACGGGAGGCAGCAGUGGGGAAUAUUGGACAAUGGGCGCAAGCCUGAUCCAGCCAUGCCGCGUGAGUGAAGAAGGCCUUCGGGUUGUAAAGCUCUUUUGGCGGGGACGAUGAUGACGGUACCCGCAGAAUAAGCCCCGGCUAACUUCGUGCCAGCAGCCGCGGUAAGACGAAGGGGGCAAGCGUUGUUCGGAAUUACUGGGCGUAAAGGGCGCGUAGGCGGCCACUUUAGCCAGACGUGAAAGGCCUGGGCUCAACCUAGGAAUUGCGUUUGAUACUGGGUGGCUUGAGAGCGGGAGAGGAUGGUGGAAUUCCCAGUGUAGAGGUGA
rnacentral:rRNA from 1 species